AUACUUAUGAGGCAGGGGAGACACCAUGAUCAUGAAGGUGGUGUUCCCAGGUUGAGGCUCAUCCAUUGCACUCCAGGUGUGCUGACCCUUGUGUUUUCCCCAAAUGUGGGAAACUGGACUGCAUAAUUUGUGGUAGUGGGGGGCUGUAUUUGCACUUUCCAA
rnacentral:snRNA from 1 species